rnacentral:tRNA from 1 species
GCAUUAAUGGGGUAGUGGUAACCUGGGUCGUUGCCAUAUUGAGUCCCUUUGGUAAACUCGACCCGCCGGGGGUUCGAUUCCCUCUUAAUGCA